GGCUCAGGAUGAACGCUAGCUACAGGCUUAACACAUGCAAGUCGAGGGGCAGCAUUCUGAUAGCUUGCUAUCAGUGAUGGCGACCGGCGCACGGGUGAGUAACGCGUAUCCAACCUGCCUGUCACUCAGGAAUAGCCCGGUGAAAACCGGAUUAAGUCCUGAUGAUAUCAUUAGAGGGCAUCUGACGAUGAUUAAAGGUUACGGUGACAGAUGGGGAUGCGUCUGAUUAGCUUGUUGGCGGGGUAACGGCCCACCAAGGCAACGAUCAGUAGGGGUUCUGAGAGGAAGGUCCCCCACAUUGGAACUGAGACACGGUCCAAACUCCUACGGGAGGCAGCAGUGAGGAAUAUUGGUCAAUGGACGCAAGUCUGAACCAGCCAAGUAGCGUGCAGGAAGACGGCCCUAUGGGUUGUAAACUGCUUUUAUGUGGGAAUAAAGUCAGGGACGUGUCCCUGUUUGCAUGUACCACAGGAAUAAGGACCGGCUAAUUCCGUGCCAGCAGCCGCGGUAAUACGGAAGGUCCGGGCGUUAUCCGGAUUUAUUGGGUUUAAAGGGAGCGUAGGCCGGAGGGUAAGCGUGUUGUGAAAUGCAGUUGCUCAACAUCUGCACUGCAGCGCGAACUGUUCUCCUUGAGUGCGCAGGAAGUAGGCGGAAUUCGUCGUGUAGCGGUGAAAUGCUUAGAUAUGACGAAGAACUCCGAUUGGGAAGCCAGCUUACUGUAGCGCCACUGACGCUGAUGCUCGAAAGUGCGGGUAUCGAACAGGAUUAGAUACCCUGGUAGUCCGCACGGUAAACGAUGGAUGCUCGCUGUGUGCAUUCGUGUAUGCGGCCAAGGGAAACCAUUAAGCAUCCCACCUGGGGAGUACGCCGGCAACGGUGAAACUCAAAGGAAUUGACGGGGGCCCGCACAAGCGGAGGAACAUGUGGUUUAAUUCGAUGAUACGCGAGGAACCUUACCCGGGCUUGAAUUGCAGAGGAAGGAUUUAGAGAUAAUGACGCCCUUCGGGGUCUCUGUGAAGGUGCUGCAUGGUUGUCGUCAGCUCGUGCCGUGAGGUGUCGGCUUAAGUGCCAUAACGAGCGCAACCCCUUUCAUUAGUUGCCAUCAGGUAAUGCUGGGCACUCUGGUGAUACUGCCACCGUAAGGUGUGAGGAAGGUGGGGAUGACGUCAAAUCAGCACGGCCCUUACGUCCGGGGCUACACACGUGUUACAAUGGCGCAUACAGAGAGUUGGUCUGCGGCAACACAGGUCUAAUCAAUAAAAUGCGUCGUAGUUCGGACUGGGGUCUGCAACCCGACCCCACGAAGCUGGAUUCGCUAGUAAUCGCGCAUCAGCCAUGGCGCGGUGAAUACGUUCCCGGGCCUUGUACACCCCGCCCGUCAAGCCAUGAAAGCCGGGGGCACCUGAAGUCUGUGACCGCAAGGGGCGGCCUAAGGU
rnacentral:rRNA from 1 species